UACGGGGGGGGCAAGCGUUGUUCGGAAUUACUGGGCGUAAAGGGCUCGUAGGCGGCCAACUAAGUCAGACGUGAAAUCCCUCGGCUUAACCGGGGAACUGCGUCUGAUACUGGAUGGCUUGAGGUUGGGAGAGGGAUGCGGAAUUCCAGGUGUAGCGGUGAAAUGCGUAGAUAUCGGAAGGAACAUCAGUGGCGAAAGCGGCUUCCUGGUCCAGCACCGACGUUCAGGCACGAAAGCGUGGGGAGCAAACAGG
rnacentral:rRNA from 1 species